rnacentral:rRNA from 1 species
GCUUCCCUCUUUCUUCGUGCUUAACACAUGCAAGUCGAACGGAAAGGCUCCUGCUUGCAGGGGUACUCGAGUGGCGAACGGGUGAGUAACACGUGGGUGAUCUGCCCUGCACUUCGGGAUAAGCCUUGGAAACUGGGUCUAAUACCGGAUAGGACGAUGGUUUGGAUGCCAUUGUGGAAAGUUUUUUCGGUGUGGGAUGAGCUCGCGGCCUAUCAGCUUGUUGGAGGGGUAAUGGCCUACCAAGGCGUCGACGGGUAGCCGGCCUGAGAGGGUGUACGGCCACAUUGGGACUGAGAUACGGCCCAGACUCCUACGGGAGGCAGCAGUGGGGAAUAUUGCACAAUGGGCGCAAGCCUGAUGCAGCGACGCCGCGUGGGGGAUGACGGCCUUCGGGUUGUAAACUCCUUUCGCUAGGGACGAAGCGCAAGUGACGGUACCUGGAGAAGAAGCACCGGCUAACUACGUG